rnacentral:rRNA from 1 species
UACGGGGGGGGCAAGCGUUGUUCGGAAUUACUGGGCGUAAAGGGCUCGUAGGCGGCUAACUAAGUCAGACGUGAAAUCCCCAGGCUCAACCUGGGAACUGCGUCUGAUACUGGAUGGCUUGAGUCCGGUAGGGGAGCGCGGAAUUCCUGGUGUAGCGGUGAAAUGCGCAGAGAUCAGGAGGAACACCGGUGGCGAAGGCGGCGCUCUGGGCCGGUACUGACGCUGAGGAGCGAAAGCGUGGGGAGCGAACAGG